CUUGAGGAGGGAGAGGGAUGGAAGGAAGUAUAAGCCUGGCUCCGAGACAGAGCAGGAACCCCAUCCCAGAUCCUACUUGCGCCCACUGCAGUGCCCCUGAUGACUCACAUGAUGUCAACAGGAACGUCCAGGAACUGACACCAAGCUCCUCAUUCUGGCUGGCCAGCCCCUCGAGGCCAGGCUCCGUGUCCCAGACAGCCUCGGCCUCGGCCUCAGCCUCAGCCCCGCUCCAACCCACAGCCACUGAGGGCAACGGUGCUCACCUGCACCGAUCUCCGUGGAAGCAGAAUCCUCGCUGGAAGUAUCUGCAGACCUGGGACGCCGUUCUGUCUUGAGCAAAGUGGCAGCUGGACCCCGAGUGACGGGCCCCUCGGGUCCUAUGGCUGGCUCUGCCUGGUAUUUCUUGGUAAUGUGAGUGUGGACAAGGCAUGCAAAUAAGGAAAUGCAUGUGAAGUACCUGGCGUACA